rnacentral:rRNA from 1 species
GACGAACGCUGGCGGCGUGCCUAAUACAUGCAAGUCGAACGCUUCUUUCCUCCCGAGUGCUUGCACUCAAUUGGAAAGAGGAGUGGCGGACGGGUGAGUAACACGUGGGUAACCUACCCAUCAGAGGGGGAUAACACUUGGAAACAGGUGCUAAUACCGCAUAACAGUUUAUGCCGCAUGGCAUAAGGGUGAAAGGCGCUUUCGGGUGUCGCUGAUGGAUGGACCCGCGGUGCAUUAGCUAGUUGGUGAGGUAACGGCUCACCAAGGCCACGAUGCAUAGCCGACCUGAGAGGGUGAUCGGCCACACUGGGACUGAGACACGGCCCAGACUCCUACGGGAGGCAGCAGUAGGGAAUUUUCGGCAAUGGACGAAAGUCUGACCGAGCAACGCCGCGUGAGUGAAGAAGGUUUUCGGAUCGUAAAACUCUGUUGUUAGAGAAGAACAAGGACGUUAGUAACUGAACGUCCCCUGACGGUAUCUAACCAGAAAGCCACGGCUAACUACGUG